GUGCUCUGCUAGCGAAGAAAGCAAAGCACGUAUUUCUAGUACUCGUUUCCUUAACAAUGUUUUUUAGGACAAAUCUCUCUGCUGCUUUUCUGUGCUCCAGCUUCUCCAAUUUUUCCGAUGUUGGUGUCCGCGUCUUCUGAAUAAUAUUUCUGGGAUUCAUCAGCCCUCAAGUUCAGGUUUGUACGCUCUCCACACUUUGGAUAUUUCGGCAAGUGAUCAUAGUACUUUAAUUUGGUGGUCAGUACAUUUAACCAUACUCUAUACAAGUUACAGCACACGUUUAGUUA